rnacentral:rRNA from 1 species
UGGGGAAUAUUGGACAAUGGGCGGAAGCCUGAUCCAGCAAUACCGCGUGUGUGAAGAAGGCCUGAGGGUUGUAAAGCACUUUCAAUAGGGAGGAAAAAGGGUUGGUUAAUACCUAGCCCAUUGACAUUACCUAUAGAAGAAGCACCGGCUAACUCCGUGCCAGCAGCCGCGGUAAUACGGAGGGUGCGAGCGUUAAUCGGAAUUACUGGGCGUAAAGCGUGCGUAGGCGGCUGGUUAAGUUAGGUGUGAAAGCCCCGGGCUUAACCUGGGAACUGCAUUUAAAACUGGCCAGCUAGAGUUAGGUAGAGGGGAGUGGAAUUUCAGGUGUAGCGGUGAAAUGCGUAGAUAUCUGAAGGAACACCAGUGGCGAAGGCGGCUCCCUGGACCCAAACUGACGCUGAGGUACGAAAGCGUGGGUAGCAAACAGG